UACGGGGGGGGCAAGCGUUGUUCGGAAUUACUGGGCGUAAAGGGCUCGUAGGCGGCCAACUAAGUCAGACGUGAAAUCCCUCGGCUUAACCGGGGAACUGCGUCUGAUACUGGAUGGCUUGAGGUUGGGAGAGGGAUGCGGAAUUCCAGGUGUAGCGGUGAAAUGCGUAGAUAUCGGAAGGAACACCAGUGGCGAAAGCGGCUUCCUGGUCCAGCACCGACGUCAGGCACGAAAGCGUGGGGAGCAAACAGG
rnacentral:rRNA from 1 species